AUACAUGAGCAAAAUCUCAACUUUAUUAGAAGAGACGCAUUUAUUAGAUAAAAAGCCAGUUCAUGCUUUUACAGUAUGAAAAUUGGUGAUUUAUAAUAACUUAGCAAAUCGCAAAGUGAAAACAGGCGAUAAAUCAUUCAAGUAUCUGACCUAUCAGCUUUCGACGGUAUGGUAUUGGCUUACCGUGGCAGUGACGGUUAACGGGGGAUUAGGGUUCGAUUCCGGAGAGGGAGCCUGAGAAACGGCUACCACAUCUAAGGAAGGCAGCAGGCGCGCAAAUUACCCAAUUCUAACAGUUUGAGAGAGGUAGUAACAAGAAAUAACAAUACAAGGCAGUUAAAAUGCUUUGUAAUUGGAAUGAUAGAAAUUUAAACCCUUUUUAAAGUAUCAAUUGGAGGGCAAGUCUGGUGCCAGCAGCCGCGGUAAUUCCAGCUCCAAUAGCGUAUAUUAAAAUUGUUGCAGUUAAAAAGCUCGUAGUUGAAGUUCUGCUGAAAGUAACCGGUCUGCUUUUAAUAAAAGUGGUAUCUUGGUAUGUAUUUAGCAAUGAUGUCCUUUGAAGUGUCUUUUACUUUAUUGUAAUAAAGCAUAUUCAGGACUUUUACUUUGAGAAAAUUAGAGUGUUUCUAGCAGGCUGACGCUUUGAAUACUGCAGCAUGGAAUAAUAAG
rnacentral:rRNA from 1 species